rnacentral:piRNA from 1 species
GGAAAGCUGAGUAACUGCUGAGUAGGUGCAA